UCUUUGGGAAGAAAAUGUCAUAAAUGGAUCUGGCUCAGACACUGCAGUGACUUUUGGUUGCUUCUGCUUUUGAUGAUGUCUAAGUGAGCAGCCAUCACCCUUGCUUACUGCCAGAAGAUGUCACUUCUGGAAACAGGGAUGAUCUGGAGCUAACUCUGGCAGAGGGAGGAACAAUCUGUUUGCUUGUUGCUUCUCAUAGGCUGCGGUGCUGGGUGCUGGGGCUGCCAUUGAGCCGAGAGCCUUCACCCUGCCUGCCUGCUCCUGCCUUUCCCUCUAAAUGCUUUCUGCCAGUCUACCCUUGCUCAGUUUUGGAAGCUAACAGUUCCAGCUCAAGCCAGAACCACUGUAAAUCACAUAUUAAAAAUGUUUUACAAGGUUGCACGCCAAAUGGGAAACAUGCACACAGGGCGCAUUGUUCGCAUGCGGCUGGAACUGAAGCCAGAAACAGCAGGAGAGGGGGAACGAGGCCAUGUAAAAGCCCAGUGGAAACCCUCUCCAGUUGUGCUGUUACAAGACCACGGGCCCCUUACAGCUCCCUGACUCACUGCUGCAGCUGCACUCAGCUUGCUGAAGCCUCUCUUAAUUCAGACUCAAGUCAAGAUGCCCCAAAUGCAUCCAGGAGCAAGACAAAUUCACAUCCCUCGUCAGUGAGCAGAGAGGCUGUGGGUGGUGACAGAGGGGAAAGGAUCAGCUUCCCUAGUGCCUCAAAGCAGUGAGGGUCCAGGCAGGGGCUGCAGGGGAAGCCAGGGGGAAAGGCAGCAGGCAACCGUGGGGAUAAGAUGGAUUGGAAGAAUGGGGCCUGAACAGGGAGCAGGACAUCAGUGUGAGCCCCAGCGUCAAGGGGAAGAUGUUCCCAAGUGGGCAGAGACCAUGUGCUGUGCAAUUUAGAUUAAACUGACACAGGGCUCAAGAAGUUUAUGCUUUUGGCCUGGCCCAGCUAAACCUUGUCUACUUGCUUUUUUUCCAGUGUGCAGAGAAGGCCAGGGGCUUGUUAAAUGGGAAGCAGUAACCUUGCAUUUAACAUAAUUGCAGCGUUUAUAUUUGAAGAAACAAUUUGACAUGGUUGUAAUGUUUAGCUCUAACAAUGGCUCUAAUAUUUUAGAUGGGCUUUUAUCCAUCCACAAGCCUUUGUUUCCUUCCCCCCCAGGUUAAACUUGAGCUUCAUAAUCACUGAUGACGUAAAAUAAAUUAAAUAAAUGUAUUUUUAAAAAUUAACUGCAUUAGGAUGCUGCCAAGCUUUUUGGGCUUACCUCUCCUCCGUCGUCUUUAGUAUUGCAUCUAGGCUCUCUUCCAAAAGUUUUUAUACCUCGAGUAGUUCUCCUGGCCUCCCUAGAGCUGUAUCCCAGUGGGUUGGACAGGAGAUCCCCACGCCAGAGACCGUGCCUUGCUGAGACGGUAACAUCUGAAAUGACACGGAGCCAUAAAAGACGUGGUGCAACUUCCCAAGAUGGCCCUCAGAAGAAGCGCUCUGGAGAGCUCUGGAGAGCUUGAGGGUGGUAUGUACAGCGAGAGGCACGCCUCGGAGAUGCUCUUGACUGCCUCGAGACAUCCCACUGAAGCUGACAUUUAUGUUGAAUGGCUCCAUGCUGAUCACAUUAUUGCAGUAAAUGCUAAAUGAAUCUGAUGUUGAGCACGUACGUUCUUACCUUUCUUGAUAACUCUAUGUUAAUAUUACAUUAAUUAUUCCCGAGUUACAAUGCUGUGGAAUGUUGAUAAAGGCUGAAUUGCUUCAUGAAAUGCUGAUCCUGACAGUCCUGUGGCAGGCACUAAAAUGUGAUUUCCAAGUCUUAGGGGGAAAAAGGAAUAUAUUACUAUUUCUGAUUAGAGGACUUCAGAAGAAACAUAUUCCAGUCACAUCUUGUGGAGCACUCGCCUGAGUCCCUCUUGCUUUCAGUAGCUGUUGCCUUUGCAUAAGACAUAAAAAGGAAUAUACUCUUCACUUUUUCAGUUAAUAUUUUAUAGUGAUUGCUGAUGUAGAGUCAGCUCAGCGUGUAUGAACACUUCUCCACACCAAAGACUCUGUGUGCACAUGGAGCUGUGGUCACUUCUUUGGCUCGUGAGAGCUGAUGCAUUGGAGCAAAGCUGGCGGAGCAAACAUGGGGAGAUCACUUCUUACUGGUAUCACCUUCCCUGCAGUUUUGGAUCUGAGCUCUUUGACAGCUCUGCCAAGGCCCAUUUCUGCACACCUUCUGGUUAUCUCAGACAUCCCUUGUGUAACGCUGCAGCUUUCAUGGUGAGCUGCCUGGCAAAGCUGAAGACUGCCAGGACUGGGAAAUCACAGUGCUUAAUUUCCAAAUGAAUUGAGCAAAAUAUCAGAAGAAAAAGGGUUUGGGGUAAAAAUACCAAAAACACCUAAAUCGCUUAGGAAUCUUCAUUCAUAUUGAAAAAAUCUCCGGGGUGACCUCAGGUACUGAGGUGAGGGUUCCUCCACGGGCAGAUUUUUUGAUGAACAACCCAUCAACGAUCUCAGCAGCUGGAUUAAUGCAGUGUCCCACUAGCUAUGUUCUAGCUAAGGUGGUCCAGAGCCACCAGUCCAGGCUCCUUGUAGGUGUUGUGGAGGAAAUAAGCAGCUGUGACUUUUCUCAGUGCCUCCUCACCUCUCCAGGGACUGGAUAGCCAGUGUGGCAGGGGAAGAGAUCAGAAAGGGAGGAGAAAUGUUCACAAACGCUGCACUAAGUGAGAUUUCCAGCUAUAAGAAAAAAUAUGACAGAAGGGAGCAGGCAGACCCCAAAGGACUGUUUAACAAGCAUAGGAUGGGGCCUUUACUACAGAGAGGGGAACGAGAACUGAAGCAACUCCAGCACCUGGGACCUGUUUAAGAAAAAGAGGAGAAAUGGAUGCAGGAUUUCAGAAACAGAGCUCUACCUCCAGUUUUGUGUAUACAAGAAAACGUGGCAAAAGACAUCGCCGACCCGAGCCUGGGCUGGCAUCGUCUGGGACACUGACCCCACAAAGCAUCUGCAAA